GUCUGUUUGAAGGUAUAAAAAGUUUAACCUGCCCACUGAUAAAUUUUUUAAAGGGCCGCGGUAUUCUGACUGUGCAAAGGUAGCAUAAUCGUUAGUUUUUUAAUUGGAAUCUUGUAUGAAUGGUUUGACAAAAGAAAAUCUGUCUUUAUAAUUAUUUAUUGAAUUUAACUUUUAAGUGAAAAGGCUUAAAUAAAUUAAAAAGACGAUAAGACCCUAUAAAGCUUAAUAUUAAAUUUUUAUUUAAUUAAAUUUUAAAUUAUAAUAAAGAUUUGGUAAAUAAAUUUUAUUUUGUUGGGGUGAUAAUGGUAAAAUGAUUAUUAACUGUUAAUUUUUUUAGACAAAAAUAAAUGAAUAAUAAUUUAUUGUAAAGGAUCCUGUAUUAAAGAUUAAAAGUUUAAGUUACUUUAGGGAUAACAGCGUUAUUUUUUUUGAGAGUUCUUAUCGAGAAAAAAGUUUGCGACCUCGAUGUUGAAUUAAAAUAUCUAUAUAAUUGUAGCAGUUAUAUAAGAAGGUCUGUUCGACCUUUAAAAUUUUACAUGAUUUGAGUUCAGACCGGCGUAAG
rnacentral:rRNA from 1 species